GUGAGUCAUCGAAUCUUUGAACGCAUCUUGCGCUCCUUGGUAUUCCGAGGAGCAUGCCUGUUUGAGUGUCAUGAAACUCUAUCAACCACUGUUCUUCUUUAUUGAUAAACUUUGGCUUGGACUUGGGCGCUUUUGUUGGUCUUUCCUUUUGGGAAAAUCGACUCGCCUUAAACGAAUUAGUGGUCUUUGCAGCCUAAGCUUGGUUAGCAUCGGUCUUGACAUGAUAAGAAAUUGUCGUCGAGUCUGAUGUUUUUGUCUGUUUAUUCAGAGUCAAGCGUAGUUGCGCGAUCUGCUUCUAACUCUAAUCGGUUCGACCGAUUAACUUUUAGUGAAUUCAAGCCUCAAUCAGGUAGGACUUAACCCGCUGAACUUAAAGCCA
rnacentral:rRNA from 1 species